rnacentral:rRNA from 1 species
UGGGGAAUAUUGCACACUGGGCGAAAGCCUGAUGCAGCAACGCCGCGUGAGUGAUGAAGGCCUUCGGGUUGUAAAGCUCUGUCUUCUGGGACGAUAAUGACGGUACCAGAGGAGGAAGCCACGGCUAACUACGUGCCAGCAGCCGCGGUAAUACGUAGGUGGCAAGCGUUGUCCGGAUUUACUGGGCGUAAAGGAUGCGUAGGCGGAUACUUAAGUCAGAUGUGAAAAUCCCGGGCUUAACUUGGGAACUGCAUUUGAAACUGGGUAUCUAGAGUGCGGGAGAGGAAAGUGGAAUUCCUAGUGUAGCGGUGAAAUGCGUAGAGAUUAGGAAGAACACCAGUGGCGAAGGCGACUUUCUGGACCGUAACUGACGCUGAGGCAUGAAAGCGUGGGGAGCAAACA